CGAGGCCAGGAAGGGAGCCAGGCCGAGCCAGGCGGUGGGAGGGGAGCAGUGCAGUCUGGCGUGAAUGGGGCAGCGAUGGCCUUCAAGCAAGGGAGUUACUGACUCAGGAUCCAAACGGGACCAGGGACCCCAAGCGAGCCAUCGUCUCUCUCCCUGACUCAGCUCACUCCCUGCCUUCUGGGUUCGAUGCCACCUGGAGACUAUGGUCCCACCCAGUCAGUAGAUGGAGGGAGUUAGAAGGAAUAAAAGGACGAGAGAGGAGGGAAAAGCAAGGCCAAGGGCGGAUCUGUGAAUCUGCACCUGCCCCCAACACGUCCUCUCAAAGCUGACAAAUCACCAAGGACUACAGACAGAGCCAAGCGAUCCCCACGCUGCCACAGAAUAGGACGGCAGGGAGCACCGCUGACCCCUUUUCCUUGCUCGGGCCCAGAGGAGACACACCCACUUCUCUUCCCGCAGAGACUUCCUGCUCAUGCAGACCUGGUCUCCGCAGGGAGCAAGUAGAUCUAGAAGAAUAGCACAGACAAGAGAGAGAAGUGCCAACGCUGCCCCCAGAAAAAGUCCAUUCUGUGGCAGGAAUACUGAAGAGUCCCGGCGGAGGGGAAGCACAGCCCUGGAGAACCAACUUGAAAAUGCACGUGGGACAUGAGGGGGCAGAACGGCCCCACUCCCGGAAGGCACCUUUUGGAAACUGAACAGUGAACAGAAAAAGCGAGCAGGUGAAGUUCAGGAUCUGACAAGACAAAAACGUAUCAAGGACACACAGGCUUGGCCUAACUACAUCCCUGUCCAAAGAAAACCCACAAGAAACAAACCAAACCCAUCCAGUAAGGACUCCUCUCGAGACACUGGGGAGGAGGGAGUCCCGAAGCAGGGCCCUCACUGCAGCCGGGCCGCCAAGCCCUGUAGGUGAAGUGCUCCAGCGAUCCAUGAACACAACUACUCCAGGGAGGAGGCAGAGACAGGCUGGACACCAGCGAUUGAAGACGCUAGUUCCCCAAACCACCGACAUAAAGGAGGAGGACCGGGGACUGGCUCUGGAGGGCCCGCCCCUCUGGCUCCCUGAGAUCUAACCAUGACUGAGCAGGAGGAAAUCUACAGGGAAUGAGGAGCAAAGGAGCAUCUAUGCAGGCCUAGCCACACGGCCUCGCCAGCAGAGGAACAACCUGGCCAUCAGCCACAGGCUCCCAGCGGUGCCCACCACCAUCAGCCAGAAAGGAAUCAUGCUGAAUCGACCAACACCUUCUACUCCCGAUUAGUGCUCUAGAGGGAGAACUCAGAGUUGAUUUCCAGAGUUUGAUUGCUGUAUGUGAUUAUGAAAGACAAAACUGUUUUUAGGAAAUACAUACUAAAGUACUGAGGGGGAAAAAGGGCAUUAUGUCAGCAACUUACUUUCAAAUGGUUCUAGAAAGAUAAUACAUAUAUAAAGAGAGACUAAAUAAAACAAGAUAAAAUGUUAA